rnacentral:rRNA from 1 species
CCUACGUGAGGCAGCAGUGGGGAAUAUUGCACAAUGGGGGAAACCCUGAUGCAGCAACGCCGCGUGAGUGAAGAAGUAUUUCGGUAUGUAAAGCUCUAUCAGCAGGGAAGAGAAUGACGGUACCUGACUAAGAAGCCCCGGCUAACUACGUGCCAGCAGCCGCGGUAAUACGUAGGGGGUGAGCGUUAUCCGGAUUUACUGGGUGUAAAGGGAGCGUAGACGGUUAUGCAAGUCUGAAGUGAAAGCGCGUGGCUUAACCGCCGGACGGCUUUGGAAACUGGGGAUCUGGAGUGCUGGAGAGGCAAGCGGAAUGCCUGGUGUAGCGGUGAAAUGCAUAGAUAUUAGGAGGAACACCAGUGGCGAAGGCGGCUUGCUGGACAGUAACUGACGUUGAGGCUCGAAAGCGUGGGGAGCGAACAGGAUUAGAUACCCGUGUAGUC